GACGAACGCUGGCGGCGUGCUUAACACAUGCAGGUCGAACGCUGAAGCUCAGCUUUUGUUGGGUGGAUGAGUGGCGAACGGGUGAGUAACACGUGAGUAACCUGCCUCCUUCUUUGGGAUAACGCCCGGAAACGGGUGCUAAUACUGGAUAUUCACUGGUCUUCGCAUGGGGGUUGGUGGAAAGGGUUUUUCUGGUGGGGGAUGGGCUCGCGGCCUAUCAGCUUGUUGGUGGGGUGAUGGCCUACCAAGGCUUUGACGGGUAGCCGGCCUGAGAGGGUGACCGGUCACAUUGGGACGGAGAUACGGCCCAGACGCCGACGGGGGGCAGAAGUGGGGAAUAUUGGACAAUGGGCGAAAGAGUGAUGCAGCGACGCCGCGUGAGGGAUGGGGGCCGUCGGGUUGUGAACCUCUUUCGCUAAUGGUCAAGCCGCAACAAUGGUUGUGGUGAGGGUAGUGGGUAAAGAAGCGCCGGCUAACUACGUG
rnacentral:rRNA from 1 species